GCAUUGGUGGCUCAGUGGUAGGAUUCUUGCUUUCCAUGUGGGAGACCCAGGUUCAAUUCCGGCCAAUGCC
rnacentral:tRNA from 1 species